CCCUUAGAUGCUCUGGGCCGCACGCGUGCUACACUGAGUGGAUCAGCGGGUCAGGUUGCGCGAAAGUGUUUCCUAAUCUUUAAAUCCGCUCGUGAUGGGGAUUGACGGUUGCAAUUUUCCGUCAUGAACGAGGAAUACCUUGUAAGCGCGGGUCAUCAUCCCGCGCUGAAUACGUCCCUGCCCUUUGUACACACCGCCCGUCGCUCCUACCGAUUGAGUGGUCCGGUGAGGCUUUGGGAUCUGAGCGGAAAGAGCGUUUCGCUGUUUCUGCCCGGAAAACUCAGUCGAACCUUAUCAUUUAGAGGAUGGAGAAGUCGUAACA
rnacentral:rRNA from 1 species